AUUUGGAUAUAAAACCGUAAGUUAAUGUACUGUUUUAUCACUGAUAUCAAUUUUAUAUUUCACAUCUGCAAAAACACUUUGUAGAACAGCGCAUGUGAGUUCUUGCCUUCCUGCCAAUUUUAUUAUAUAGUUGAUAAUAUAUCAGUAAUUGAUCGCAAAAUCAUUCAAAAAUACUAUAUUAUACUCACCUGGUACUGAUUCUGUAAUCGCAAAAUAAAUCAAUUUGAAGCCAUAUGUAAACCGUUGUUAGAAUUUCAUGAUACCACAAUUAACAUACAAAUAAGGGAUAAAAUAAACUCAAAUGAGCUCAAAAAGGACCGAAAAUGGAUCAGUCUAUAUAUUCAACAUUGUCUGACAUGCAAGAAAUAUAUGCAUCUUAAGUCUUAUGAGACUUGUUAAGGGGCACAACUUCUAAUUCAUCUAUUAUCAUUAAACCACAAACAAAACAAAACUGAUGAUGAACAAUAACACUAGAUAUAUUUCGCCAUUAUGCCAGUAAAUAUACUCAUUCGUUCCUUGAAAUCAACUCCAUCUUAAUCUUUGGUCUCCUCAGCUCAGUUGUCAUCUGAU
rnacentral:lncRNA from 1 species